AUUGAAACAUCCGUUCUCAUCCGAUCAUAGAAGUUAAGCAACGUUGAACCUGAUCAGUACCUAGGCGGGAGACCACUUGGGAAUAGCAGGUGCUGAAA